CCUACGGGAGGCAGCAGUGAGGGAUAUUGGUCAAUGGGCGAGAGCCUGAACCAGCCAAGUCGCGUGAGGGAGUACUGCCCUAUGGGUUGUAAACCACUGUCCCCAGGGACGAAGAUGACGGUACCUGGGGAGGAAGCUCCGGCUAACUACGUGCCAGCAGCCGCGGUAAUACGUAGGGAGCAAGCGUUGUCCGGAAUUACGGGGUGUAAGGGGAGCGUAGGCGGGAUGGCAAGUUGGGUGUUAAAUCUACCGGCUCAACUGGUAGUCGCACUCAAAACUGCUAUUCUUGAGUGAAGUAGAGGCAGGCGGAAUUCCUAGUGUAGCGGUGAAAUGCGUAGAUAUUAGGAGGAACACCAGUGGCGAAGGCGGCCUGCUGGGCUUUUACUGACGCUGAGGCUCGAAAGUGUGGGGAGCAAACAGGAUUAGAUACCCGGGUAGUC
rnacentral:rRNA from 1 species